CGUCGACCGGCGCACGGUGAGUAACGCGUAUCCAACCUUCCCGUUACUGCGGAUAACCUGCCGAAAGGCAGACUAAUACCGCAUGUUCUUCGAUGACGGCAUCAGAUUCGAAGCAAAGAUCCGUCGGUAACGGAGGGGGAUGCGUCUGAUUAGCUAGUUGGCGGGGCGACGGCCCACCAAGGCGACGAUCAGUAGGGGUUCUGAGAGGAAGGUCCCCCACAUUGGAACUGAGACACGGUCCAAACUCCUACGGGAGGCAGCAGAG
rnacentral:rRNA from 1 species